rnacentral:rRNA from 1 species
ACGGAAGGCAGCAGUGGGGAAUAUUGCACAAUGGGGGAAACCCUGAUGCAGCGACGCCGCGUGAAGGAAGAAGUAUCUCGGUAUGUAAACUUCUAUCAGCAGGGAAGAUAAUGACGGUACCUGACUAAGAAGCCCCGGCUAACUACGUGCCAGCAGCCGCGGUAAUACGUAGGGGGCAAGCGUUAUCCGGAUUUACUGGGUGUAAAGGGCGCGUAGGCGGGAUAGCAAGUCAGAUGUGAAAUCCAUGGGCUCAACCCAUGAACUGCAUUUGAAACCGUUAUUCUUGAGUGUCGGAGAGGUAGAUGGAAUUCCUAGUGUAGCGGUGAAAUGCGUAGAUAUUAGGAGGAACACCAGUGGCGAAGGCGAUCUACUGGACGAUAACUGACGCUGAGGCGCGAAAGCGUGGGGAGCAAACAGGAUUAGAUACCCUGGUA